rfam:Camelus ferus unplaced genomic scaffold scaffold1315, whole genome shotgun sequence.
GAGGGUAGAGCUCAUGGUAGAGUGUUUGCUUAGCAUGCACAAGGUCCUGGGUUCAAUCCCCAGUACCUCCA